GCAAGUGUAGCAUAAUUGGCUAAUGCGGUUUCCUUCCAAGAAAUUGAUUGCGAGUUCGAGUCUCGCCACUUGCA
rfam:Rhizopus oryzae RA 99-880 supercont3.83 mitochondrial scaffold, whole genome shotgun sequence.